AUUCUGAGCAGCAUGAAGAUUGCCCAGGGUACGGAUCAUCCCUUUGUCCAGCAAAUUCACACAUAGUCAUUUAGUAGCUGCCUUUGUUAUCAGAUUGACUAUUAUACUCUCGUAGCUUUUGUGUCCAAAUAAUGCUUGUUUGAUUUCCCAAAGCUCAAGGGUAGUGAUGCGGGCAAUCCUCUUUUUAGAUGUACCAAAGAGAAGACAUAAAGUGUUUCCUUUAGCAAAAAGUUGAAAGUUCUCAAUUUAGGAAGGAAAGAAAGAAAUUCAUACCUCAGCAAGGGACACCCUGGAAGGAGUAGGGCUUCCUAACCCACAAACUAAACUUUGUCAUGGGUAUAUAUGGACGGGGAAAACAGGGUAAGUAGGGUUGGUGUGAUCUGCAGUUGUGGGUAUUCACGGUCGGUCUCGCAACUCAGUAGUAAGGGUUAAUUACUGUGGACCUCAAUUCUCACAGCUCUCACAGGAUUCACCAAAGGGGAGGCCCACAGUGACUCAUGGAACCGGAGCCAGAGGUAACAUUCUUCCAGGCUCAGGUUGCCUUCUCUGUACCUGUCUUAAAAUCCGUGUCAUUAUGAACAAACAGCCUCCUGAGGAAUUUACGCAUCAUGGUCCAGCCCGUGACUUCUGCUUAUAUAGUGCAUGCUGUUGUGUUCUUGGGUCAACACUUGACAAAGCAAGUUGCACGGUGGAGAGACUGAGGAACAGAGCACAACCUCUCACUGUAGGCUGGAAGGAACCGCAUCCAGUCAGCACUGCCUGGGAAGAGUGGUUUCUCUGGCUGAGCUUCGUGACCACUGCUGGGCCAUCGCAGAUCUGUUAGAUGAGUGAUGGCAGAGGCUCCAACUAAGGUGUGCCUACAUCGCAAGGCCAAAGAAACUGAGAGAGGAAUAAUUAAGGACAGAAAAUGAAAAGUUCUCAGCUGUGACGAAUGCGUGCUACUGAAAUCCAAGACGAUGUUGUGAGCCGUCUUCUUCCAAACCAUGAAAGACUGCACAGUCCUCUGGGCAAUGAAAUAAGAAAACAGAACCAAUGAGCUUCACAGUUUCAUCACCUUCUAGGGCCUUCCAUCAUUCUUCCAUUCUCAUUGUUUUAGUCUUUUAAAAAUACUUCUGGACUAAUUACAGAGUGAUGAUGACAUAAACCUUGAGGUUAUGAAAUAGGUAAACACUUCAAAACAUAGACAACAUGAGAUUGUUUAUAUAUCAUGAAGUCAUAAAAGAAUUCAA